rnacentral:rRNA from 1 species
GAUGAACGCUGGCGGCGUGCCUAAUACAUGCAAGUAGAACGCUGAAGGAAGGAGCUUGCUCUUUCCGGAUGAGUUGCGAACGGGUGAGUAACGCGUAGGUAACCUGCCUGGUAGCGGGGGAUAUCUAUUGGAAACGAUAGCUAAUACCGCAUAACAGUAGAUGUUGCAUGAUAUCUACUUAAAAGGUGCAAUUGCACCACUACCAGAUGGACCUGCGUUGUAUUAGCUAGUUGGUGAGGUAACGGCUCACCAAGGCGACGAUACAUAGCCGACCUGAGAGGGUGAUCGGCCACACUGGGACUGAGACACGGCCCAGACUCCUACGGGAGGCAGCAGUAGGGAAUCUUCGGCAAUGGACGGAAGUCUGACCGAGCAACGCCGCGUGAGUGAAGAAGGUUUUCGGAUCGUAAAGCUCUGUUGUAAGAGAAGAACGAGUGUGAGAGUGGAAAGUUCACACUGUGACGGUAUCUUACCAGAAAGGGACGGCUAACUACGUG